UACAGAGGUCUCAAGCGUUGUUCGGAUUCAUUGGGCGUAAAGGGUGUGUAGGUGGCGCCGUAAGUCGGGUGUGAAAUUUCGGAGCUUAACUCCGAAACUGCAUUCGAUACUGCCGUGCUUGAGGACUGGAGAGGAGACUGGAAUUUACGGUGUAGCGGUGAAAUGCGUAGAUAUACGGAGGAACACCAGCGGCGAAGGCGGGUAGCUGGGCCAACACUGACGCUGAUGCGCGAAAGCCAGGGGAGCAAACGGG
rnacentral:rRNA from 1 species